UCCUGACCUCACUACUUACUUACUCCCUUCUCUAUAGCCACUUAUAUUCACUUUCCAUUUCUCCAAAACAGACUUCUUUCUCUAUAGAAGACACAACAAGGAAAAUGGACUCUGCAACAACAAGAAGAUGGCCUUGUUUUCUUGAGAAAAACGAUGGUCUUGCCUCUAUAGCUGAAAUGGGAAACCAUUAUCAUCACAUGAAUCACAACUCAUUAAUUUCUAGGAGGAAUAGUUUCAAGAAUCUGUACUCCUCCUCUUCCUCUUCUCGUUCGUCACCAAGAUUGUCUAGCGGAACAAGGUUGUAUCAUACUAGAUUUGAACAACAAGUACACUUCUUGGAAUCUUGUUUUCUUUGUAACAAACCACUUGGUCACAACAGAGACAUCUUUAUGUACAGGUUUGUUUUCUUCUUCAAAUCUAUCCUUUAUUUUUCAUGUUUCGAAAUCAAAUAUUUCAUCUUUCUUAUAGUUUGGUCUGAAAGAUCUUAACUUCUAUUCAAAAACUGUUACUCCCUCAAUUUCAAUUUAUUUUUCUGAUUUUGAUUUGACAUGGAGUUUAAAACGUACUUUAAUGUCACGUUAUGUUAUGUGACGUGAAAAGUUGAAUUUAAAGAAUUGUCCAAAAGCAUAUUCUUUGAUAAAUGGACUAGACGGGAAAGUAACAUAAACAAAUUGAAACGAAUGUAAAUAAAUAUUGGGGUUCUAGUAAAAGGUUGAUUUGUUUUUUCUUCACAGGGACUGUUAACUGAAUAUUCUUCAAAAGUACUAAUACAUAAAUUGUUUAUAUUAAGUGUGAAAUUAGUAAAAGAGGACAAUAGAUUGAUUUUUUCUGAUGCAUGUUAUGAUGUAGAGGGGAUACUCCAUUUUGCAGUGAAGAGUGCAGGCAAGAACAGAUAGAAAUGGAUGAAGUCAAGGAGAAACAAUUCAAUCUUUCAGCUUCUAUAAAGGCUUUGAGAAAAAAGGACCAGAUAAAGUCUACUACCUCUCAAAAUAACUCUGCGCAAGAAUACCCUUUAUGCAGAGGCAGUGUUGCUGCAGCUUGAAUUAAAAAAAAAAAAAAACAGCCAGCCAAAGCAUCGCCCGUUGGCAGGAUCCGCUAUAGUAGUAUAUAGAAUUUUAUUUUAUUUUUGAAAAUAAUGUAUAUGUUGAUGAGGAGGGAGUGGGGGCUAUCAUUUUGCUGGUUAGUCUUACGUGAUAAAAGUAAUGGCUAUACUUUUUGGUGGUAUGCCAAAGUUUUUUUUUUUUUUUUUUUUUUUAUGCCACUUUUUAUGAUUUCGUGGGCUGUUUUCACGAUGGAAAAAGAGGAGCAAUGAUAGGCAGCGUCCACUAUCACUUUUGUUCUGUUAAUAUCGUAUCAUUUCAAUUUUGUGUUGAACGUAUAAUAAAUUACUCAAGGGGGAAUAUAUGCCUUAAGUUACAUAUUUGAUGCAAUUCAAUAAUUUUAAUUUUAAUUUUCUACCUAUAUGUAAAUAAAGCUCAGUUAACAACACUUAAAUUAUUAUCUUACAUUUCAAAAUUCUAAAGCUCGAAUCCGUCUUUGAUAAUAACUUCAUCUUUUCAAAUUGAUGCAUACGUCCUUUUAUUCCAUGGAAGAAAAUUGUGAGGAGAUAACUUCAUGGUAAAUUGGGAAGAAAAGGAUUACGGAAAUUUUGUCAAGUACUUUGGACCUUUUGGACAAGGAUCUUUUUUUAUCUUUUUAUUUUUUAAAAAAUGAGAAUUUAGUAAUGAUUUUUCAGUUAGUUUUUGAAGAUGAAUUUUUUAAAUUUGAAAAAUUGAUUAAAAGAAAAGAAAUCACUCGCAAAACAUCAACUUUUUGAAACUGAAAAGAAUCUCAAAAUACAGUUUUAAUUUUUAAAUAGCAAUUUCAACUUUAAUUUCAAGUAUUACUUUCUUCAAAUACCACUCAAUUUGUAUUUAGACGCCUACUAUAUUACGUUAUUCAACUAAAUUGUUAUUGAAGUCUUUCAAGAAAAAUAAAUCAACUUUGUUGGAUGAAUGACUAAGCCUUUUCCUUGUUCUCCUAUGAUUAGUCCUUUUUACUCUAAUCCACACCGUAUAUUGCCAAACAAUUGCUAGGAUUAUUGAUUUAUUUGGAUCCCAUUCGAAUAUAACAUGGAAAAAUAAGUCAAUUAUAAUAUCGAUGUUCAGAAUUACAAGAAAGCUAAACAUAUUAAUUAAAUAUCUUGUUCCACAUACCAAUUUUGAAAAAUGGUUGAACCCAAUUGGUCGUAGGCAGGAUUAGAGGACAAGAUUAAGUAGAUGUUGAGUGCCACAUCGAUAUGGUGAAACUGUUAACAAGAAAAAUGCAAAGCCGAUAAAUCUCCAUUUUUGAUCUAAUUUAGAAGCGUUAUCGAGCUUGAAAGAGUAAAGGAAGAGUAGAGGUAGAGCGAGAAAAUGUUUCUUAUU
rnacentral:lncRNA from 1 species